rnacentral:rRNA from 1 species
UACGUAGGGUGCGAGCGUUGCCCGGAAUUACUGGGCGUAAAGAGCUCGUAGGUGGUUUGUCGCGUUGUUCGUGAAAACUCACAGCUUAACUGUGGGCGUGCGGGCGAUACGGGCAGACUGGAGUACUGCAGGGGAGACUGGAAUUCCUGGUGUAGCGGUGGAAUGCGCAGAUAUCAGGAGGAACACCGGUGGCGAAGGCGGGUCUCUGGGCCGUAACUGACGCUGAGGAGCGAAAGCGUGGGGAGCGAACAGG